rnacentral:tRNA from 2 species
GGGCCGUUAGCUCAGUUGGUAGAGCAGCUGACUCUUAAUCAGCGGGUCCGGAGUUCGAGUCUCCGACGGCCCACCA